rnacentral:ncRNA from 1 species
CGGAACAUGGUUCCAAAGGGGCGCUGAUUGACGCAUUGUUUCAUAUCCCACGCCCGAGGGGGCCGUGAGAUUAAGCCAACAUGGCAGGUGCUCACGUUAAAAAUAUCAGACUUUCAUGUCCCUAUCUACUAUCUAGCGAAACCACAGCCAAGGGAACGGGCUUGGAAUAAUUAGCGGGGAAAGAAGACCCUUUUGAGCUUGACUCUAAUCUGGCAGUGUAAGGAGACAUAAGAGGUGUAGAAUAAGUGGGAGAUAUUAGACUUCGGUUUGGUAUCGCCAAUGAAAUACCACUACUCUUAUUGUUUCCUUACUUACUUGAUUAAAUGGAACGUGUAUCAUUUCCUAGCCAUUAUACGGAUAUAUUUAUUAUAUCUUAUGGUAUUGGGUUUUGAUGCAAGCUUCUUGAUCAAAGUAUCACGAGUUUGUUAUAUAAUCGCAAACAAAUUCUUUAAUGAGAGAUGCAUUUACUGUAUUAUUGAUUUGAAAAUUUGGUAUAACUCCAAUUACUCAGGUAUGAUCCAAUUCAAGGACAUUGCCAGGUAGGGAGUUUGACUGGGGCGGUUAGCGGUUCAUAGGACAAAGAUAAAAGCAAAAGAAAACAAGAAAAGAAAGCUAACUUCGGGCGGAGCCGAAGUUUAUAUAACCUUGCAGUUGAGGAGCAGUCCGCUAGGUGGCAACACACAUCUUAUAUUAUUAGAUAUAUAGUGC